ensembl:lncRNA
GCGAAAGAACGUGGAGUCUCCUCGCGUCACCAGCACGUCUGGCGGCAGUUGUGACCGAAACAUCUUCCACUCUUCCUCUUCGUCUUCCACCUCGUCUUCCCAUCUCCCACACCUCUCCUCCACCCUGCCCCACGCGUCUUCCACUCACCCACAGACGGCCACCCACUACUCCACCUCUUCUCUCCCACACAAGCACACCUCCCUGGGCCAGCAUUCCUCCCCGUCGCUCCCGCGCUCCCCUCGGUCACGCUCCUCCUGCAUCCCAGCCACGCCAGCGCCCACAGCCCCCUUCCUGUGUGCCCCUCAUCACAGACGGGCAUCCGCUACGUGUCGCCCUCAUGCCACGUGCCGCACUUACAAUCAAUCAGGGGUCCAUAUCUGGAGCCGAGAGGGACAGAGGGGCUAAAACAGGAGUGGUACACCAAAUACUUCUCCUUCUGAGCACAAAUGCACACAAAACGUAGCUGCAAUUGACAUUUAUUCAUGCUUCUUGUAAACCAUUUGCUUCCUACAUCCAGAUGAAAGCCUCUGUAACAUUCAGACAAGCACAGACUGAUAUUCCAACAUCAUCACCAGCAAGGCCAUCUCCGACAUUGCCUCAAGCUCAACCAAAAAGUGCUUCUCCAACACAUGCCUGACCUCUUAUAUCAUGGGCCUGUCGGAUCUUUGUAUAGUUUGAAAUGUCUGUUUUUUUAAGUCUUCCUUUUUAAAUGGCUGAUUUCUUCAUAAAAAUCCUAGCAAUGUUUUUACUCUCAUUUAUAGACUAUUCAUAACAUACUCAAUCAAGAUCCUUGUUAACGAAACACGCAACUUACCAUACCAAAACAAAGCUUGUUUUGAUGCAAAAUGUAUAAUAAUCUUGAUGUACUAAUGAAUAAAAUAUUUUGUUUUUCUAUGCAGUUUCUAUCCUGUUUGUAAAGGCAUUACAAUCACAACUCUUCUUUGUUCCCUUCACCUACUUCCAUCCGAGUAUGUGUACAUGCCAGACCUUAUAUGAAAACUCAACCUCUCACUGGACUUCAGUACGUACGUCCUAAUGAUGUCUUAAUCUCAGAUAGAGCUGGGAGAUCCAGUGUGUCUGAAAGAGCAGACAUGUUCGAUCUGAUCAGUUAUUAGGUCCAAAAACAUCUUUAGACUGAGUCCUUUCAAUUGACCAACAUCACACACCACUCAUUGACACCAUUAUGAGAUAAUAAUUGGACCUUGUGUAAUAUGUGGGAACAAAAGAUACAUUGAACUUUGUGCCCGUUUCUAGAUAGAUAUUACCCUUAAACAAUAUUGAAACAUUUUAAUUAGACAGUUAUCAUAGUUACAAUGGAAUUUAAGAUGCCCCACACCUCCACAUACAUUUUUAAGGCUAUACAUACAUUUGCUUUCUCAUAAAUAAAAAAUAUUUAUUGAAAAGUUUCACUGUCUACAUUUACAUGCCGACCAAAAAUCUGAUCAUGAUCCGAUUUCUGGAGUUAACACGGAAAAAAUCAGCACAACCAAAAAGCUCCCGGGGAAAAUUAUUUAUUGGUCUCCAGAAGUGAUGUUUCGGGCAUAUCCCUUCAGCAGACACAGUAGCAGGAAUCUAAUUACUAAAAAUAUUAAAAAGGAAAAAUUAUCAUACCAAAAAAAGGUCUUUGCUGUAGAGCAGGACUCAACCUUUUAGAGCUGAGGGCUACUUUACAAAAAUAAUAUCCCCGGACUGCUCGGGAAGAACAUCACUCUGUUCACUCCCCAACACAGGCCGCGUUACUGAAACAGAGGGCUGUUCUGGAGCACCUCUGCGGCUGAACGGAACUGGAGGACGUUGUCAUAGAAACUGGUUAGCUCGCCUCGCAUGUCCUUGUUCCAUCUGCCUCCCGAUGCACGGUACUUCAUGUCCAGCAGCUUGGAGCACAGGUAGUGCAGCCACAGUACAUUUGAAUGGGGAUUGUAGUCACUCCAGUCAUUUCUAUUCAAAGCAAAAGACAGUGAAAAAGUAACUACAAUGUGGAACUAAUACAGAUACAAAUGAAAAUGAAGCACCAACCCAUUCUCUUGUCUCAUAAGUCUGUAGAUCUCAAACUGGUAAUCCCCCUGCCCCAUAAAAAGCUCCUCAUCAUGGGAAAUAUCGCAGGAAACCGUGAGUUCAUCUAAAAACAAACAAAAUUCAAAUUGAUAUUUUGAUAUGAUAAAACAGUUGUAAAAAGUGCAGCCGAAGUUUCACACCAAUUUCCAAUCUGGAAAGAGAGUAAUCAAUGAUGCGGACAAGCACCCCUUUUGUUUCCAGGGACAGCACUGUCCCAUUCAGACUGAACUUGGCAGUCUUCUGCUUGGUCAUUUUGACCAACACAUUACCCCAGUGGAGGUCCCUGAGGAAGACAACACAAGGGUAAACUGUAGAAAUCUAACGCAGAGUUGGCACAGCCGUUGUUUAGUUGUAUGCACUACAUUAUACUAAAUGAGAUGAGUGGCUUGUAAUAAGACUCACUCUAUGCAUUAUUUUUUACCUGUGCUCAAAGUGGAGCUGUUGUUCAGCUACAGCCAAUGCCGCAGUGACUUGAUGAAGAAUGCUUUUAGCAACAAUGAUUGAAGGCAACUAAAAAGAUAUAAAAAAGAUAAAUUGGGCAUAGAUUGAGUGUGAAGUUUAUUUUGCUUAAGUGGUUGUCAUUACUCUUAUAGUCUAGUAAAAAAAUCUGAAAAAGGGCUCCGUUAACACUUUUGUGGUUCCGGAAUGUUAGAGGUUGGCAACCUUGUUUUUAUUUUAAUAUAAGAUGUUGGGAACAUAUUUCAUGAAUAUGCCACUCGCGUAUCGCGUUCGUCUGUUUUUUAUUGAAGAAAUAAGAAGAGAAUGUUUACCAAAAGUCGUUCAUCAGAACACCCUAAAAGCUGAUGAUACUUGUGACUAGAAAUAAGUUCUAUAUUUCAUGUAUUAAUUAAGAAUAAUCCUU